GACGAGGUGGCCGAGUGGUGAAGGCGAUGGACUGCUAAUCCAUUGUUUUCUGCAUGUGUGGGUUCAAAUUCAAUUCCUUGCUG
rfam:Nipponia nippon contig11400, whole genome shotgun sequence.